GGAGUUGUCAGUCGAAAAUCACUAUUGGCAGACGAAGAACACUGGCAUUGCAUUUGACUGUCAAUUUCUGAAACAUUUGAAGCAAAAAUGGGUGUUGAUGAUGUGCCGAUGGACGAUAAAGCUAAGAGAAUGAGAGAUCUGUUAUCAAGCUUCUAUUCUCCUGAUCCCAGUUCUCCUUCAAAGACGCCCAAUGCUUCUUCCAGAUUCGCUACACUGGAUACCAUCAACACCACCACAUUCGAUGCCGAUCAAUACAUGAAUCUUCUUGUGCAGAAGUCCAAUUUGGAA
rnacentral:misc_RNA from 1 species